UACGUAGGGGGCUAGCGUUGUCCGGAAUUAUUGGGCGUAAAGAGCUCGUAGGCGGUUUGUCGCGUCUGCCGUGAAAGUCCGGGGCUCAACUCCGGAUCUGCGGUGGGUACGGGCAGACUAGAGUGAUGUAGGGGAGACUGGAAUUCCUGGUGUAGCGGUGAAAUGCGCAGAUAUCAGGAGGAACACCGAUGGCGAAGGCAGGUCUCUGGGCCACUACUGACGCUGAGAAGCGAAAGCAUGGGGAGCGAACAGG
rnacentral:rRNA from 1 species